rnacentral:rRNA from 1 species
CUGGUUGAUCCUGCCAGCAAUCAUAUGCUUGUCUCAAAGAUUAAGCCAUGCAUGUCUAAGUAUAAGCGAUUAUACAGCGAAACUGCGGAUGGCUCAUUAUAUCAGUUAUAAUCUACUCGAUUAAUACUUUACUUGGAUAACUGUAGGAAUUCUAGAGCUAAUACAUGCAAAAAGAUCGGACUGGGGGUAACCUUGGGAAGAUCGCGUUUACUAGCAGAGGAAUCAUUGGGGCAACCCAUUUCUGAUGAUCCAUAGUAAGUGUUACGUGAAGCGGGGGCUCAGGCUCCUGCUGAUGCGAACGAGUAUCUGCCCUAUCAACUGUCAACCGUAGUGUAGGGGACUACGGUGGUUGUAACGGGUACGGGGAAUUAGGGUUCGAUUCCGGAGAGGGCGCCUGAGAAACGGCACCCACUUCCAAGGAAGGCAGCAGGCGCGUAAAUUAUCCAAUCCCAAUUCGGGGAGAUAGUGACAAGAAAUACCGGUGUAGGGCCUUACGGGUCCUACUAUCGGAAUGAGUACAAUUUAAAAACUCGUUAGCGAGGAACAAUUGGAGGACAAGUCUGGUGCCA